GGGAAAGCCUUAACGGCGCGGGAUGGGGUCGCGGCCCAUUAGGUAGACGGCGGGGUAACGGCCCACCGUGCCCGCGAUGGGUAGCCGGACUGAGAGGUCGACCGGCCACAUUGGGACUGAGAUACNACCCANACUCCUACUUNANNCACCANUNANNAAUUUUACCCAAUNUNAANAACCCUNACNCANCAACNCCGCNUNCNNNACAAAACCCUUCNCUUUCUCCCCCCCUUUCNNCNNNNNNNNCNUNNNCNNUNCCUGCAGAAGAAGCUCCGGGCUAACUACGUCCCAGCACCCGCGGUAAAACUAGGGGGCAAGCUUUGUCCGGAAUUACUGGGGGUAAAGGGAGCGCAGGCGGGAGACAAGUUGGAAAGUGAAAACCAGGGGGUCAACCCAUGAAUUGCUUUCAAAAACUGUUUUUUUUGAGUAGUGCAGAGGUAGAUGGAAAUUCCCGGUGUAGCGGUGGGAAUGCGUAGAUAUCGGGAGGAACACCAGUGGCGAAGGCGGUUUACUGGGCACCAACUGACGCUGAGGCUCGAAAGCAUGGGUAGCAAACAGGAUUAGAUACCCUGGUAGUCCAUGCCGUAAACGAUGAUUACUAGGUGUUGGGGGAUUGACCCCCUCAGUGCCGCAGUUAACACAAUAAGUAAUCCACCUGGGGAGUACGACCGCAAGGUUGAAACUCAAAGGAAUUGACGGGGGCCCGCACAAGCAGUGGAGUAUGUGGUUUAAUUCGAAGCAACGCGAAGAACCUUACCAGGUCUUGACAUCCGAUGCAUAGCACAGAGAUGUGUGAAAUCCUUCGGGACAUCGAGACAGGUGGUGCAUGGUUGUCGUCAGCUCGUGUCGUGAGAUGUUGGGUUAAGUCCCGCAACGAGCGCAACCCUUAUUGCCAGUUACUACGUUAAGAGGACUCUGGCGAGACUGCCGUUGACAAAACGGAGGAAGGUGGGGAUGACGUCAAAUCAUCAUGCCCUUUAUGACCUGGGCUACACACGUACUACAAUGGCGUUAAACAAAGAGAAGCAAGACCGCGAGGUGGAGCAAAACUCAAAAACAACGUCUCAGUUCAGAUUGCAGGCUGCAACUCGCCUGCAUGAAGUCGGAAUUGCUAGUAAUCGCGGAUCAGCAUGCCGCGGUGAAUACGUUCCCGGGCCUUGCACACACCACCCGUCA
rnacentral:rRNA from 1 species